GGCUCAGUAACUCAGCGGUUAGAGUGCCAUUCUUAUAAAAUGGAAGUCGAUGGUUCGAUUCCAUCCUGAGCCACAA
rnacentral:tRNA from 1 species